CCCUGAGCGCGCGCCGGGGCUCGCCCCUCCCCGGGCCCCCGAGGUUGGGGCAGCUCAGGGGGUGGAGACGCCGCGCGCCACCAGCGUCUGCCACGAGUGGCGCUUGCCCCGGGCUGCAAGAAAAGUUGCGAGCACAGCCUGGAAGAGGGAGAGCUGGGGGACCUGCCUGAAAGGGAUCUCUGACCUAACCUGCAGCUCAAGGAGACCAGCUGGCCAGCAAGCCCCAGGAACCUGCCUGUGUCUGUGACCCCCAUCACUGGAAUCAUAAGCGUGUGGCACCAUCACCCGGCAUUUACAUGGGUCUGGGCAGCUGGGAAAUGAACAAGCAGCCUCCGUCUACAGAGGUUUAUGUUGAAGUUCUAAGGAUGGCAAUCGGAUUGGGCUGUGAUCCUAUUGUAAAAAACUUCCUUUAGAAUUCCUUAAAGAAGUACUUGUCUCUGACAUUCCUGUUCGUUUACCCACUGGACUGAGCUCCC